AGCUACAUCCGUCACCUGACACGGCCCUACCAGGAACAGCCGCGCUCCCGCGGAUUCUGGUGCUGCUCGCGUCCCCGCUCCCCUAUUCCCCUUAUUUUAUUCCUGGCUCCCCUCUUCGAAAGUCUUCCAUUCUUCAAACUAGAUUAUUUAAAAAUGAAAAAGGAAGAAAGGAAAGCGAGGUCAUCUCAUUGCUCUAUCCGCCAAUCAGGAGGCUGAAUGUCAGUUUUGAACUAAAAGCCGCUCCGCUCCUCUUCUAGAUUUGGAAAACAAGCGAAAUUAAACUAAACCGCUGCACGCCUCUGACGCGACAUCUGGACACGGCGCGGCGCUGGCGCUGCCGGAGCUGUCGGCCCGGCCUGGCGCCGGACUAGUGUCCCUUUUGAUGAGAAGAAUAAGCCUCAUUGUGAUUCAACAGCAGAGAUCAAAGAAAAGACUUCUGUUUUCUGGCCACCAGAUAUAUGUUAUCUGUGCUUAAAGAAUUGAAAAACACACAUCAAAGGAGAAUUCUCUUGGAAAGAGAGGGUUCAAGCAUCACUGUUAGGUGUGCUGGAAUCCUUUCCCGAGUCAGUACUGCUUUCUAGAAGAAAACCGGGGAGAUCUAUUUGGAAUGUAUCUAACUCCAAAGGAACCAUCAGAGGUAACAGGAUGAUUACGGAGCUAGGAAUUUCCUACAAAGCUGGGUGAUAAAAGGACAUUGGACAAAAACACAGAUAGCUUCAUUCUAUACCAGGAUCCAUCACUGAUUAGCUGUAUUAUAUUUGUCUCUACUGUAAUUUGAGGAGAAUGAUACCUGCUUCUCUAUCUUGUUGGGUUUUACAGAUGAUGUAUUGAAAGUUCAAUAAAAUCUAUAAACAAU
rnacentral:antisense_RNA from 1 species